GAUGAACGCUGGCGGCGUGCCUAAUACAUGCAAGUCGAGCGCGAGAUUGAGGAGCUUGCUCCUCAUGAUCGAGCGGCGGACGGGUGAGUAACACGUAGGCAACCUACCCUUGAGAUUGGGAUAACUACCGGAAACGGUAGCUAAUACCGGAUACGACUUUCCUGCAUAAGCAGUUAAGUUAAAAGGCGGAUUUAUCUGCCGCUCAUGGAUGGGCCUGCGGUGCAUUAGCUAGUUGGUGAGAUAGUGGCUCACCAAGGCGACGAUGCAUAGCCGACCUGAGAGGGUGAUCGGCCAGACUGGGACUGAGACACGGCCCAGACUCCUACGGGAGGCAGCAGUAGGGAAUCUUCCGAAAUGGACGCAAGUCUGACGGAGCAACGCCGCGUGAGUGAUGAAGGGUUUCGGCUCGUAAAACGCUGUUGUUAAGGAAGAACACUUGAGGUAGUAACUGGCCUUGAGAUGACGGUACUUAACCAGAAAGCCACGGCUAACUACGUGCCAGCCGCCGCGGUAA
rnacentral:rRNA from 1 species